UACGUAGGCAGCAAGCGUUGUUCGGAGUUACUGGGCGUAAAGGGUGUGUAGGCGGUUGUUUAAGUUUGGUGUGAAAUCUCCCGCUUAACCGGGAGGGUGCGCCGAAUACUGAAUGACUUGGAGUGCGGGAGAGGAAAGUGGAAUUCCUGGUGUAGCGGUGAAAUGCGUAGAUAUCAGGAGGAACACCGGUGGUGUAGACGGCUUUCUGGACCGUAACUGACGCUGAGGAGCGAAAGCGUGGGGAGCGAACGGG
rnacentral:rRNA from 1 species